AACCUCCGCAAUGUGAGAAAUCGCGACGGGGGGAUCCCAAGUGCCAUUCUUAACGGGAUGGCUUUUCAUUAGUGUAAAGAGCUUUUGGAAUAAGGGCUGGGCAAGACCGGUGCCAGCCGCCGCGGUAACACCGGCAGCUCUAGUGGUAGCAAUUUUUAUUGGGCCUAAAGCGUCCGUAGCCGGUUUAAUAAGUCUCUGGUGAAAUCCUGUAGCUUAACUGUGGGAAUUGCUGGAGAUACUAUUAGACUUGAGACCGGGAGAGGUUAGAGGUACUCCCAGGGUAGAGGUGAAAUUCUGUAAUCCUGGGAGGACCGCCUGUUGCGAAGGCGUCUAACUGGAACGGUUCUGACGGUGAGGGACGAAAGUUAGGGGCGCGAACCGGAUUAGAUACCCGGGUAGUCCUAACUGUAAACGAUGCGGACUUGGUGUUGGGGUGGCUUUGAGCUGCUCCAGUGUCGAAGGGAAGCUGUUAAGUCCGCCGCCUGGGAAGUACGGUCGCAAGACUGAAACUUAAAGGAAUU
rnacentral:rRNA from 1 species